CUUCUCCACCAAUCUUUUCCUCUGUAAUCACCGCAACCGUUACUUCAAUAAUCAAUGAUGUUCUUUACUUUCUCCUUUUCAUUCGACCUCCCGAUGAUUCUUUAUUUUCCAAAACCAGACGUUCCAUGAUUCUAUCAACCAGUUGCUAUAAAUUUAGGGCUAUACACACAAACCAUCAUUACCCAAACCAAGUACUCUGCUGUUCUUACUUUUCUACACCCCAGUUGCUAUUAAUCUCGAACCCAGUUUUACUAGCUUCUCACGGAUAAACAGCUGUGUACGAGUCAACUAAACACUGCUCCGUUAUUCUGCUCCAGUAUUAAAUCAUGCCAGUUGUGCCAUAAGAUCUUAGAUCAAGGACGUUCUAAGCUUUCCAGAAAUAUGUUGAAAGCAACGUACAUGCUACUGCAUUUAUCUGGGAAUGGUGUUAGCUUAAUAAGGAGAGCGAUCCUGAUUAGAACUUAGAAGUAACCUUAGUUCCUAUAUUUUCCCCCACAUGGCUGAAGGCUGCCGAUGAAUGAGCGACUGUCCCAAUGGUGUUUGUUGGAUGCUGGAACCUGUGCAUUUUGCUCCACUGAUGAGGAAACAAGGGAUCACUUGCUCAUGUAGUGCAGGUUUGCAGUGGAGAUCUGAGAGCGUGUGAAACAGAGGCUGGGAUACCCACGUUCACGCUUAACUCUUGGCACGCGAUGAUAAGGUGGCUUCCCCAGCAGAUAUGGUCAUCAAGGAGAAGGCUUCUCACUUUAAUUGUGUGUCAAGCUACAGUCUAUUAUCACAUAUGGACAGAAAGAAAUGACAGGAAAAAUGGAAGAUCUUCAACAACUUUUCUAGCUAUCUUCAAAAAAGUUCGAGAGGGUCACGGAAGUAUUCUCCUAGCAAGACGUGUACACACUUACUCUACUUGUGGUUCAAGUAUAGCUAACGUUAGCUAAAAUUUGUUGUUCCAAACUCUUAGCUUCUCACUGGUUUUUUUUUUUGGCCAUAGAAUUACUCUGCUUUUGAAGCUCAUAUAACCAAUUUUCUUUUAAAAAUAUAAUAUCCAGUUAUUAAAAAAAGAA